AACGAACGCUGGCGGCGUGGAUAAGACAUGCAAGUCGAACGGGAUCAAGUUUGUAGCAAUACAAAUUUGGUCCAGUGGCAAACGGGUGCGUAACACGUGAGCAAUCUGCCGGGAAGUGGGGGAUAGCUCGCCGAAAGGCGAAUUAAUACCGCAUGUGGCCAGGAAGGACAUCCUUCCACAGCCAAAGUCGCAAGACGCUUCCUGAUGAGCUCGCGGCCUAUCAGCUAGUUGGUGAGGUAACGGCUCACCAAGGCGAUGACGGGUAGCUGGUCUGAGAGGACGACCAGCCACACUGGAACUGAGACACGGUCCCAGACACCUACGGGUGGCAGCAGUCGAGAAUUUUCACAAUGGGGAACCCUGAUGGAGCGACGCCGCGUGGAGGACGG
rnacentral:rRNA from 1 species